AGAGGAGAAGAAAAAGUCAGAAGCAUCACAAAAACAAGAGGAGAUAUAUUAUCAUACAAUAUGUAUAAUACGGUUUCAUUUUUAUUACAAAAAGAGAGAGACCUUAUCUUUGUGUAUAAUAUAUCCAUUUAGAUAAGCAUUUGCCUAGUGACUGCAUACCAAAGGGAGGGAAAUGGGACUGGGGAUGGUGAGAACUUUCACUGCAUGCUCCAAGUAUUAUUUGACUUUUCUAUAUUCUUUGACUUUUCUACACUGAACAUGUUUUACUUUUGGCAUUAAAAAUAAUAUUAAUAAAGGAAGGGAAAAAGAGAAAACCUGAGGAGAGGAAAGAAAAGCAGCUAGAAGCACCAAAGCAUCCAAGUUCAAGAACAAGCCAAGGAAAACAAAUAGCAAAUCCCAUAGCAAGGUUCUCCCAGUAUCUGCUGGCUAUAGGUCCCGUGGCUUGGGUGACUUUCAUCCUAUGUGUUCUGGAUUAUUCUGGACAUGACCAGGUCUGGCAACACUGGGCCUGCAUUCCAGCAUGGGGACAAGUGGCUGAAAAGGAGAAGCAGCUGGGCCUUUGGUCAGAAAUAACUGAAAUCUGAUGGCCAUUUCUGACACCACAUUCUUGGGCCCCACCCAGAUACACCGCCAAGCAACCCGGCCAGCUCCAGACCAAAGGAAACUUAGCCCUUCUCCACCCGCGGACCGGCCCUAGCCCAUCAGGCCCUACCACUGAGAGUUCCGACAGCCAAUCCCCACAGUCCUCGUGCACUGCCCCGCCCCUUAAAGAGAAACGCUUUGACGGCCCGGAAGAACGGCAAGGGCGCAAGCCAAUCACUGCAGAGGGCAGCCCUCAUCAGGCAAGGCUCAGAGGCGGGGUCAUCGGUCAAGAUGGACAGCCAGAACAGCCAAUAGAGUUAUCGGAAACUGGGGAGGGGCGGGUGCCGGGCGCUCACAGAGCGGUUAAGGCCCCUAAGAGUCAAGGGCCCAAGGACCCGGCUCGGACUACAGCUGUUCCCUUAAUCCACUCCCAAGUUCUCUAUCCCAUGGUUGCUGGCCGGCCGCCCUGCGUGCGGUCUAUGGGUGGAGGAAGGACGGAGGUAGCGGCGGUUGAACCCGCCUGACAGGCCAGACCAGUGACAAAGAGCCGGCGGCGCAGGCUUGAAAGCCGGGAAGCGAUCCCUUCGGGGAGGAGAGCAUGAGUCCCUUUAGAGAA